rnacentral:lncRNA from 1 species
GACGCAACUCAAGGAAACAGGUAGAAAAGUGAGAGAGCUCAGCAGACUCGAGAGAAAGAGAGAUCAGUCAAAGGAAAUGGCCUUUAGAGAUGGCUGCUUCCAUUAACUCUUUUGUUAAGUGUAUAUCCCGAGUCAAAACAUCUGAUCUUCCUUCGUCGGGGAGGGUGAAAUUGAGUCACUUAAUUUGAAUCCUUUUACUGGAGCGCUGAGACUGUACUUUUCCUCUUAUCUAAGAACCUUUGUCGUUUUAGAUGUCUAACAUGACAGGUCUGUUGAUAUGUCAGUUUCUAGCAAGUUAAUAGGUUCAACUUAAGUUAGAGCUGUUAUGCAUCUGGAAGAAUUAACAAGCAGAUGCCAUGGAUAUGUAUGGACCUGUUUCUUUGCUGGCCUUUUGCAUGCUCUGAUCAAAGAUUCCAGAUUAAUCAUUCAGGUUACCAUAUUCUGCAUUCAUAUUUUUUUAGUUUAUCCAUAAUCACCACCGUGGAUGCCAUGGAUAUGUAUGGACCUGUUUCUUUGCUGGCCUUUUGCAUGCUCUGAUCAAAGAUUCCAGAUUAAUCAUUCAGGUUACCAUAUUCUGCAUUCAUAUUUUUCUUUUCUGUUUUUUGACAUGGUCACCGAGAGAUUGUGAGUUCGAGUCUCCCUGAUAGCAAGGUGGGAAGUUCUUGGAGGGAAGUAUGCCGGGGUUUUAUUUGGAAACAGCCUCUCUACCCCAGGGUAGGGGUAAGGUCUGCGUACACAUUACCCUUCCCAGACCCCAGUAAGUGGGAUUAUACUGAAUUGUUAUUGUUGUUAUUAUGGUGUGGAUGUAUAUAGAGAACAAAUGAUAGCCAACUCGCAGUUUGUGAUAUGCUUAUUAGCUUCCUUUUCCUGAAUCAAGAAUAACUUUAACUCUUUUGGAGUAACGUUAGGCAGUAAUAAGUGAGAACUGAGGAGGUUCUUUGUUUCCCAGCUAUUGCUGUUUAUUUGCACAAAAGAGGCCUGUUUGUCUGAGUUUACAUUUGCUAUCAA